AAAGAGGCAAUGAAGGGGAGUAGUAGACUUUCUUACUAUGUGAGCGAGCCGGGGGUGGUGCGAAGCCCGGUAUAGGAUGUAAGUCGAACGUCGCCCCGGAGCCGGCCUUCUGAACAGCGAUUUCGCUUAGUAGUUUGGUCCGUCAAGCCCACGUUACGGGCACAAGAGUGGCUGUCGAUUGGUUAUCGGCUGCCGAAUUUGGGUGGUACCGCGUGAGAAGUCCUCUCGUCCCAUUG
rnacentral:ncRNA from 1 species